rnacentral:rRNA from 1 species
UACGUAGGGGGCUAGCGUUGUCCGGAAUCAUUGGGCGUAAAGAGCUCGUAGGCGGUUCGUCGCGUCGGCUGUGAAAACCCGGAGCUCAACUCCGGGCCUGCAGUCGAUACGGGCGGACUUGAGUGUUGCAGGGGAGACUGGAAUUCCUGGUGUAGCGGUGAAAUGCGCAGAUAUCAGGAGGAACACCGGCGGCGAAGGCGGCUACCUGGUCCACAACUGACGUUCAGGUACGAAAGCGUGGGGAGCAAACAGG